CAGCAGCCGCGGUAAUACGUAGGUGGCAAGCGUUGUCCGGAAUUAUGGGGCGUAAAGGGCUCGCAGGCGGUUUCUUAAGUCUGAUGUGAAAGCCCCCGGCUCAACCGGGGAGGGUCAUUGGAAACUGGGAAACUUGAGUGCAGAAGAGGAGAGUGGAAUUCCACGUGUAGCGGUGAAAUGCGUAGAGAUGUGGAGGAACACCAGCGGCGAAGGCGACUCUCUGGUCUGUAACUGACGCUGAGGAGCGAAAGCGUGGGGAGCGAACAGGAUUAGAUACCCGAGUAGUCCCUGUCUCUUAUAC
rnacentral:rRNA from 1 species